GGAAAUGGAGGGUCUGUGUGGACUUCACAAACCUGAAUAAGGCGUGCCCCAAGGAUAGCUUCCCGCUUCCAAGAAUUGAUCAACUGGUCGACUCCACUGCUGGGCACGAACUACUUAGCUUCAUGGAUGCGUACUCAGGGUACAACCAAAUACCCAUGUUCCGACCUGAUGAGGAAGCUACAUCAUUCAUCACGGACAGGGGGCUGUAUUGCUACAAAGUCAUGCCCUUCGGAUUGAAAAAUGCCGGGGCCACAUAUCAGAGGUUAGUCAACAUGAUGUUUGCCGAACUCAUUGGCAAAACCAUGGAGGUCUACGUGGACGACAUGUUGGUCAAAAGCCUCCAGGCGGGCGAACACGUGAGUCACAUUGACCAAACCUUCCAGAUACUCAGAAGGUAUAACAUGAAGUUGAAUCCCCUCAAGUGCACUUUCGGAGUGGCAUCGGGCCAGUUCUUGGGAUACAUUGUAAAUCAGAGAGGAAUUGAGGCAAACCCUGCAAAGGUGGCGGCUAUAAUAGAAAUGAGUUCACCUCAGAAACCAAAGGAGGUCCAAAGUCUCAAUGGCCGGAUAGCCGCCCUCAGCCGCUUCAUCUCCAGAGCCACUGAUAAAAGCUUGCCUUUCUUCAAAGUAUUGAAGCAAGGAAAGAGAUUUCAGUGGACUUCGGAAUGCCAAGAGGCCUUCGAGUCUCUGAAGAAACACCUAGGUGAAUCGCCCCUCCUAUCGAAACCCCAUCCGGAUGAAUCUCUGUUGCUGUAUCUAGCAGUGUCAGAUGUGGCAGUCAGCGCGGUCCUAACCAGGGAAGAAAAUGAGCGUCAAUUGCCGGUAUAUUACAUCAGCAAAGCACUUCUCCCAGCUGAAACACGCUACUCCGACAUGGAAAAACUGGCACUCGCACUUAUUACAGCUUCGAGAAAGCUGAGGCCAUAUUUCCAAGCUCACUCAAUACAAGUCCUCACCAAUUUCCCCUUAAGGCAAGUAAUGCAGAAGACGGACGCGUCGGGACGCCUACUGAAAUGGGCUAUCGAGCUCAGCGAGUUCGAUCUCACAUUCCGACCUAGACACGCUAUCAAGGGCCAGGCCCUUGCCGAUUUCAUGGUCGAAUUUACCAAAGCCCCAGAGAUGGAGGCCCUGAUGGAGCCAGCCGAGCCCCCCGCAUGGAAAUUGUUUGUAGAUGGGUCUUCAGGAGAGGCAGGCGCAGGGGCGGGAAUCGUGCUGGAAAGCCCGGAAGGUCAUUUGUUGAAUUGUGCGGUAAGAUUCGGCUUCAGAGCCUCGAACAACGCAGCCGAAUAUGAGGCCCUUCUGGCAGGACUAAGGCUCGCCAAGGAAAUGCAGGUCAGGAAACUUCUGGCAAGC
rnacentral:lncRNA from 1 species